UUCCGUCCGGGUGGAAGUGGUGUCCCGGCCCGGCCGCAGGCUCGGCCCCGUUUGCUCGACUUCAGAGGAAAUUGCGCCUGGCUUCAUUUCACCAAAAGCCUUGAAAAAGACCAGCGGACCUGGCAGGGAGUACCCUUUCCCCUCGGUCUAGGCCGGACUAAACAGAAAAUCAUUACAAAUCGAUAGGAUGCAUGGCAGUUAAAAAGCACGUUAAAGAUGCCCUUCCAUUAUCUUCCGGCAUGUUUCUGAAGUCAGCUGACGAUCUGGGGUGACGUCUGACGUUUCCAUCCGGCGUUUCUAGUUGUUGUGAGUGGAAACCUUGAUCUGCCUGCAAGCGGCUCCAUCACACCCGAGAGCGGACACUCCGUCUGUUGAUGGACUACUGGCGAAGUAAGAAAGAAAGGCAAAACCAGGUUCCACCGAUUUUAAGUUGAAUUUAAAGAUGACAGAAGAAGGUAUCCUUUAUAUGCAUCCAAACUCCGGAGUCUGUAAUUGCUCGCUGACUUUAUUAAAAGGUUCCACCACAGUUUUUGAAA